GAUUAUGGCUCAGGAUGAACGCUAGCGACAGGCUUAACACAUGCAAGUCGAGGGGCAGCGCGGAGGUAGCAAUACUUCUGGCGGCGACCGGCGCACUGGUGAGUAACACGUAUGCGACCUGCCCCGGACAGGGGGAUAAACCCGGGAAACUGGGUCUAAUACCCCCAUAUGUGCCAUGGAUGCAUGUCCUUGGCAUGAAAGAUCCGUCGGUCCGGGAUGGGCAUGCGGCGCAUUAGCUUGUUGGCGGGGUAACGGCCCACCAAGGCAACGAUGCGUAGGGGUUCUGAGAGGAAGGUCCCCCCACACUGGUACUGAGACACGGACCAGACUCCUACGGGAGGCAGCAGUGAGGAAUAUUGGUCAAUGGGCGAUAGCCUGAACCAGCCAAGUCGCCGUGCGGGAUGAAGGCCCUCCGGGUCGUAAACCGCUUUAGCCGGGGAGUAACGUGCGGGACGUGUCCCGCAGUGAGAGUACCCGGAGAAUAAGCAUCGGCUAACUCCGUGCCAGCAGCAGC
rnacentral:rRNA from 1 species